rnacentral:rRNA from 1 species
AGAUGGCGACCGGCGCACGGGUGAGUAACACGUAUCCAACCUGCCGAUAACUCGGGGAUAGCCUUUCGAAAGAAAGAUUAAUACCCGAUGGCAUAGUUCUUCCGCAUGGUGGAACUAUUAAAGAAUUUCGGUCAUCGAUGGGGAUGCAUUCCAUUAGGUUGUUGGCGGGGUAACGGCCCACCAAGCCUUCGAUGGAUAGGGGUUCUGAGAGGAAGGUCCCCCACAUUGGAACUGAGACACGGUCCAAACUCCUACGGGAGGCAGCAUG